AAGGUAUACCUUUAUAAGAUAGUUCAUGUAAUUUUUUCAAAAUCGAAUAUGCGGAAAGGAGCUGUUUGGAAUUAAGAUUUACAAGAAGAAGUAAUUCCAUCUAAUUGAAUUAGUGAUAAAAUUGUUUGUCGGCUUCCAGGUACCAAAGCAUUGACUGCACUAAAAUGCAGAGAAGAAUUGGCUUAAGUUUAUACAAAUAAAAACUAAAUUCUCUUCAGAGUAUUUUCGAAAAGUUAUAUGGUCUCUAUGGAUAUGAAGGG